AUGCAGUCGAGCGGACAGAUGGGAGCUUGCUCCCUGAUGUUAGCGGCGGACGGGUGAGUAACACGUGGGUAACCUGCCUGUAAGACUGGGAUAACUCCGGGAAACCGGGGCUAAUACCGGAUGGUUGUUUGAACCGCAUGGUUCAGACAUAAAAGGUGGCUUCGGCUACCACUUACAGAUGGACCCGCGGCGCAUUAGCUAGUUGGUGAGGUAACGGCUCACCAAGGCAACGAUGCGUAGCCGACCUGAGAGGGUGAUCGGCCACACUGGGACUGAGACACGGCCCAGACUCCUACGGGAGGCAGCAGUAGGGAAUCUUCCGCAAUGGACGAAAGUCUGACGGAGCAACGCCGCGUGAGUGAUGAAGGUUUUCGGAUCGUAAAGCUCUGUUGUUAGGGAAGAACAAGUGCCGUUCAAAUAGGGCGGCACCUUGACGGUACCUAACCAGAAAGCCACGGCUAACUACGUGCCAGCAGCCGCGGUAAUACGUAGGUGGCAAGCGUUGUCCGGAAUUAUUGGGCGUAAAGGGCUCGCAGGCGGUUUCUUAAGUCUGAUGUGAAAGCCCCCGGCUCAACCGGGGAGGGUCAUUGGAAACUGGGGAACUUGAGUGCAGAAGAGGAGAGUGGAAUUCCACGUGUAGCGGUGAAAUGCGUAGAGAUGUGGAGGAACACCAGUGGCGAAGGCGACUCUCUGGUCUGUAACUGACGCUAAGGAGCGAAAGCGUGGGGAGCGAACAGGAUUAGAUACCCUGGUAGUCCACGCCGUAAACGAUGAGUGCUAAGUGUUAGGGGGUUUCCGCCCCUUAGUGCUGCAGCUAACGCAAUAAGCACUCCUCCCGGGGAGUACGGUCGCAAGACUGAAACUCACAGGAAUUGACUG
rnacentral:rRNA from 1 species